UACGGAGGGAGCUAGCGUUGUUCGGAUUUACUGGGCGUAAAGCGCACGUAGGCGGCUCCGUAAGUCAGGGGUGAAAUCCCGGAGCUCAACUCCGGAACUGCCUUUGAAACUGCGGUGCUAGAAUCCUGGAGAGGCGAGUGGAAUUCCGAGUGUAGAGGUGAAAUUCGUAGAUAUUCGGAAGAACACCAGUGGCGAAGGCGACUCGCUGGACAGGUAUUGACGCUGAGGUGCGAAAGCGUGGGGAGCAAACAGG
rnacentral:rRNA from 1 species